rnacentral:rRNA from 1 species
UACGAAGGGGGCUAGCGUUGUUCGGAUUUACUGGGCGUAAAGCGCACGUAGGCGGAUCGUUAAGUCGGGGGUGAAAUCCUGGAGCUCAACUCCAGAACUGCCUUCGAUACUGGCGAUCUUGAGUCCGGAAGAGGUGAGUGGAACUCCUAGUGUAGAGGUGGAAUUCGUAGAUAUUAGGAAGAACACCAGUGGCGAAGGCGGCUCACUGGUCCGGUAUUGACGCUGAGGUGCGAAAGCGUGGGGAGCAAACAGGG